rnacentral:rRNA from 1 species
UACGUAGGGGGCAAGCGUUGUCCGGAAUCAUUGGGCGUAAAGAGCGCGUAGGCGGUCCGGUAAGUCCGCUCUGAAAGUCCGGGGCUCAACCCCGGGAGGCGGGCGGAUACUGUCGGGCUAGAGUCCGGAAGAGGCGAGUGGAAUUCCUGGUGUAGCGGUGAAAUGCGCAGAUAUCAGGAGGAACACCAAUGGCGAAGGCAGCUCGCUGGGACGGUACUGACGCUGAGGCACGAAAGCUAGGGUAGCGAACGGG